AAACCAAAGCUGGCGACCGGCGCACGGGUGAGUAACACGUAUCCAACCCGCCUCAUACUCGGGGAUAGCCUUUCGAAAGAAAGAUUAAUAUCCGAUAGCAUAUAUUUCCCGCAUGGGUUUUAUAUUAAAGAAAUUCGGUAUGAGAUGGGGAUGCGUUCCAUUAGUUUGUUGGGGGGUAACGGCCCACCAAGACUACGAUGGAUAGGGGUUCUGAGAGGAAGGUCCCCCACAUUGGAACUGAGACACGGUCCAA
rnacentral:rRNA from 1 species